CGUAAGUAAAUCAAGGGCAUACGGUGGAUGCCUAGGAGCUCGGAGGCGAUGAAGGACGUGAUACUCUGCGAAAAGCUGCGGUGAGCUGAGAAUAUGCUUUGACCCGCAGAUGUCCGAAUGGGGAAACCCAGUGCUUAGCACUAUCCCAUACUGAAUACAUAGGUAUGGGAGGCGAACCCGGAGAACUGAAACAUCUAAGUACCCGGAGGAAAAGAAAUCAACCGAGAUUCCGUUAGUAGUGGCGAGCGAAAGCGGAUUAGGCCAUUGGAAUGCUGUGAAUUAGUUGAACGUGUUGGGAAGCACGGCCAUAGACGGUGAUAGCCCGGUAAACGACAUGCAACAGCGGACCAUCGAGUAGGGCGGGACACGUGAAAUCCUGUCUGAAUAUGGGAGGACCAUCUUCCAAGCCUAAAUACUACCGAGCUACCGAUAGCGUACCAGUACCGUGAGGGAAAGGUGAAAAGUACCCCGAUAAGGGGGGUGAAAUAGUUCCUGAAACCGUAUGCCUACAAGCAGUCGGAGGGCGUAAGCCUGACGGCGUACCUUUUGUAUAAUGGGUCAGCGACUUAUAUUAUGUAGCAAGCUUAAGCAAACACGUGUAGGCGCAGCGAAAGCGAGUCUGAAUAGGGCGUUUAGUUACAUGGUAUAGACCCGAAACUGGGUGAUCUAGCCAUGGGCAGGUUGAAGGUAAGGUAACACUUACUGGAGGACCGAACCCACGCAUGUUGAAAAAUGCGGGGAUGACCUGUGGCUCGGAGUGAAAGGCUAAUCAAACCCAGAGAUAGCUGGUUCUCCUCGAAAACUAUUUAGGUAGUGCCUCGUGUAUUACUUCCGGGGGUAGAGCACUGGAUGGGCUAGGGGGGCCUACAGCCCUACCAAACCUAACCAAACUCCGAAUACCGGAAAGUAUCAGCACGGGAGACAGACUUAGGGUGCUAAGGUCCUAGGUCGAAAGGGAAAGAGCCCAGACCGCCAGCUAAGGUCCCCAAAUUCUUACUAAGUGUGAAAUCAGGUGAAACUGCUCAGACAAUCAGGAGGUUGGCUUAGAAGCAGCCACCCUUUAAAGAAAGCGUAACAGCUCACUGAUCAAGCGGUUUUGCGGAGAAGAUGUAACGGGGCUAAAGUAAGAUACCGAAGCUGCGGACUUGAACUAUGUUCAAGUGGUAGAGGAGCGUUCUGUAAGCCUGUGAAGGUGAACCGACAAGGUUUGCUGGAGGUAUCAGAAGUGAGAAUGCUGACAUGAGUAGCGAUUAGACGGGUGAGAACCCCGUCCGCCGAAAUCCCAAGGUUUCCUACGCCAUGCCAAUCAGCGUAGGGUUAGUCGGCACCUAAGGCGAGGCCGAAAGGCGUAGUCGAUGGAAAGCAGGUUAAUAUUCCUGCACCAGUUGGAGGUUGACGGCGUCUAUAAAUUGUAACUCCUUAUUGGAUUGGAGUUGCAGUGAAAGAUGUCCAGGAAAUAGCACCAACAUUAGGCCGUACCCCAAACCGACACAGGUGGGAAGGUUGAGUAUACCAAGGCGUUGAGAGAACUAUGGUUAAGGAACUCGGCAAAAUGCAUGCGUAACUUCGGGAUAAGCAUGCCCACCCUUUAGGCAACUAGAGGGUGGGGGCACAGAAUUGGGGGUGGCGACUGUUUAUUAAAAACACAGGACUAUGCAAACACGAAAGUGGACGUAUAUGGUCUGACUCCUGCCCGGUGCUGGAAGGUUAAUUGAUGAUGUGCAAGCAUUUGAUCGAAGCCCCAGUAAACGGCGGCCGUAACUAUAACGGUCCUAAGGUAGCGAAAUUCCUUGUCGGGUAAGUUCCGACCCGCACGAAUGGAGUAACGACUUCCCCACUGUCUCAACCAUAGACUCAGCGAAAUUGAAUUCUCCGUGAAGAUGCGGAGUUCCCGCGGCUAGACGGAAAGACCCCGUGAACCUUUACUACAGCUUUACACUGGAAUUAGGAUAAGUUUGUGCAGGAUAGGUGGGAGACUAUGAAACUAGGACGCUAGUCCUAUGGAGUCAUCCUUGAGAUACCACCCUUGCUUAUCUUGAUUUCUAACCGUGGCCAGUUACCCUGGUCCGGGACAUUGUAUGGUGGGUAGUUUGACUGGGGCGGUCGCCUCCCAAAGAGUAACGGAGGCGCGCGAUGGUUGGCUCAGACUGGUCGGAAAUCAGUCGUUGAGUGCAAAGGCAAAAGCCAGCCUGACUGCGAGAGGGACACCUCGAGCAGGUACGAAAGUAGGUCUUAGUGAUCCGGUGGUUCCGAAUGGAAGGGCCAUCGCAAACGGAUAAAAGGUACUCCGGGGAUAACAGGCUGAUACUGCCCAAGCGUCCACAGCGACGGCAGUGUUUGGCACCUCGAUGUCGGCUCAUCACAUCCUGGGGCUGGAGCAGGUCCCAAGGGUUCGGCUGUUCGCCGAUUAAAGUGGUACGCGAGCUGGGUUUAGAACGUCGUGAGACAGUUUGGUCCCUAUCUACCGUGGGUGUUGGAAUAUUGAGAAGAGUUGCCCCUAGUACGAGAGGACCGGGGUGAACAUACCUCUGGUGUACCUGUUGUCGCGCCAGCGGCAUUGCAGGGUAGCUACGUAUGGACGGGAUAACCGCUGAAAGCAUCUAAGUGGGAAGCCUCCUUCAAAACUAGUAUUCCCUAUCAGGACCGUGGAAGACCACCACGUUGAUAGGCUGGGUGUGGAAGUGCAGCAAUGCAUGAAGCUAACCAGUACUAAUUGUCCGAUCGUCUUAC
rnacentral:rRNA from 1 species